rnacentral:rRNA from 16 species
GGAUGUGAUCAUACCAGCACUAAAGCACCGGAUUCCAUCAGAACUCCGAAGUUAAGCGUGCUUGGGCUAGARUAGUACUAGGAUGGGUGACCUCCUGGGAAGUCCUYRUGUUGCAUUCC